UUUUUUUUUUUUUUUUUUUUUUUUUUAGUGAUAGUCAUGGUUCAUUUAUUUAUUACCAAAACUGGGAUACACUAAACUGUGCCAAAAAAAGCAUCCGUUCUGUACUAUAAAAUGUGGUAUUUCUACUCUUCCUUCUUCAUCGAAGUGUUCCAAACGGGUGCAAAAGGUUAAAAAACCUGUUAUGUGACGGACAAACAAUUGUAAUGUUUAUUU
rnacentral:ribozyme from 12 species